GAACGUCGUGAGACAGUUCGGUCCCUAUCCGCUGCGCGCGUAGGAAAUUUGAGAAGAUCUAUCCCUAGUACGAGAGGACCGGGAUGGACGAACCUCUGGUGUGUCAGUUGUCCUGCCAAGGGCACCGCUGAUUAGCUACGUUCGGAACGGAUAACCGCUGAAAGCAUCUAAGCGGGAAGCCGGCUUCGAGAUGAGAUUUCCAUACCCUUAGGGGUGAGAGGCUCCCAGCUAGACUACUGGGUUGAUAGGCCGGAUGUGGAAGUGGGGACUAACGACCCAUGGAGCUGACCGGUACUAAUAAGCCGAUGACUUG
rnacentral:rRNA from 1 species